UACGUAGGGUGCGAGCGUUAAUCGGAAUUACUGGGCGUAAAGCGUGCGUAGGCGGUUCGUUAAGUCAGCUGUGAAAGCCCCGGGCUCAACCUGGGAAUUGCAUUCGAGACUGCGUAGCUAGGGUGCGGAAGAGGGAAGCGGAAUUUCCGGUGUAGCGGUGAAAUGCGUAGAUAUCGGAAGGAACACCAGUGGCGAAAGCGGCUUCCUGGUCCAGCACCGACGUUCAGGCACGAAAGCGUGGGGAGCAAACAGG
rnacentral:rRNA from 1 species